rnacentral:rRNA from 1 species
CGUGUCNUNAGAUNUUGGGNUUAAGUCCCGCAAACGAGCGCAACCCUUGUCCCNUAGUUGCCAGCGUUCGGCCGGGAACUCUAGGGAGACUGCCGGUGAUAAACCUGAGGAAGGUGGGGAUGACGUCAAGUCAUCAUGCCCUUACGGCCCAGGGCCACACCCGUGCNNCAAUGGGCGGUACAAAGGUCGCGAACCCGCGAGGGGAGCCAAUCCCAAAAAGCCGCUCGCAGUCCGGAUCGGAGUCUGCAACCCGACUCCGUGAAGUCGGAAUCGNUAGUAAUCGCGGAUCAGCA